AGUGUUUUACUUACUGUGCCACCAGGGCUCCUUAAACAGUGUAUACAUUAUAAAAAAACAAUAACACAAGAAAAACACGAACGUCAACCAAUCGGUUAACUGACAAAGCCUUCUCGCCAAGGCUCUAGCUCCUCCCUGUACUGUCUGAAAAUUUGUUCCUUAGAACUCUGAUCAGUUUACCCUGUAACGCUCUACACGACCACCCUCUGCCUCAGACCUUGGCCAGGUUGCUCUGGAAUCCUGUAUACCUGGCUUCAGCUAGAAGGCAUGGCUUGGCUCUCUCUGGCAGUCUGCACUUACCUUGGGAAUUGUAAGACUGCUCGGAGUUGGAAUGUUGAAAAGAAGAGAAAACUCCUGGAGUCCUGACCUGUUCAGGGGACUUCAGCUUGACUGUGGGCCCAGGUUUUGAAUUCUCAGGAAGUGAAACUAGAAUGCUCCCGCUUUCCGGCCUCAAGGACAAAAAAAGCUGUUUCCUGUUUAUCAUUAUGAAUCUGGCUCCAAUACGGCCAGCAUGAUCACUUCAGGACUUUGCCAAAAUAUGGCAAAUAGAGCAUGAGUUCUCUAUAGGUGGGCUAGACCAAAAGACCAAUGGAACACAGAAACUCUGCUGCAUGGAGAAUCACCCCUCCCUUGUCUGUGACACGGAAAAUGUCUCACGUACUGUAUGAGAGCGUGCAAAGUGGGAAAGGGCCACUAAAACAAUCCACGCAAGGAAACGUAGCGGAAUGUACACCGUGAUUACAUCUCUGGUAAAAUUCAUCUGCUGACGGACGAACACUGGAAAUGAAUGAGCAAAAAUGAAAAUUACUGUAUGAUACGCCGGUAAGGAUAUAGAAGAGUUCUGUCAUUUUCUAUUUUUAAAUUUUUUUGUAAUGUCAUUAUAUAGACUUUGUAAUGAAAGGUAUAUUUUUAAAGUUUCCUAGUGUAGAAAACACUUUUAUCUAAACAUUUCCUGUUAUGUAAAUCAUGUUAAGAAUAACUAUAUUGGUUAAUAACAAAAAUAUUUUAAGUAUAUCCAAUCCUAAUCUCAACAUCAAAUCAAACAAAUUACUGUUGAUAAGGAGACUCAUGCCUUUCACUUUAGCCUAUAGGGACGCAGAAUAGCAUAGAGGUUAGAAUGGAUUUUGGAGUCAGACAGAUGUGGGUUGAAAUUUUGAGUUCAGAACUCAUUAAUUAGUUCUAUGAUUUUGAGCCAUAGCUUCCUCAACUGUAAAUUAGAGAUAAUAAGGGCCAGAAUUUAUUGAGACCUUACUACCUGCCAUGCUUUACUUAAACGUAUUAUUUAUUUCAAUUUUCAUCUUAAUAUUAUGAUGUAGUUAUGAAUUUUAUCAUUAUUUUACAGAUGAGAAAACUGAGUCUUUCAGGGAUAAAGUAACUUGCCUGAAGUCAUCUAGCCAAUUAAGAGUAGAGUUGGAAUUGAAAGCCAGGACUCAUGCUUUAGCUCCACCUUCUCCCACCUUACAUGUAACUACUGUACAUAAUUCAAAGGGUUGCUGGCAGCAUAAAAAAUAUAACAGUUAAAAUAUUUUUCACAGUGUCUGACAUAUUGUAAGCACCUAUAUGCUAGCUAUAUCGUAUAUAUAAGAGGAGACAGCAGUGGGACUGUAGAAGGGUUUUAAUGUAUUAGUCAUUAGCCAUUGACUGGUAGAGAUUGUCAUAUCUGCCUGGCUAGGAAGAGAUCCCUGGCUUCUCUCACUGUUCCCCACCCCUUCCAUUGUGCCUCUUCCAAGUUGUAUAGUUGGGCAAAGAAGAAUAGCCUUCUCUGAUGAAACAGGGGGUACAUGUGGACUUUAAAUGUACUGAGCUGAGAUAAUCCUGAGGUAAUAACAAUAAUAAGGAAGAGUAUAUAGUGGUUAUGUAGUGAUUCCUCAUUCUUCAUUUCCAUUUUAGGCCAAGAAUAAAAGAAGGAACAAAAUUGAAAAUGGAUCUCAUUUAUUUCAAAAUCAUGCUUGCCUUCUGUCAGAUAAAGAUGUUGAAUGAGGCAGCUUAAGGCUUCUCUUUCCCGUUGUGGAUGAGACAGAUUUAGAGAGAAAACACUGUGCCUAGAACUUUCUAAAUGCCCAUUUCAUUUGAUAACCUGUGGGAUCUACUCUGAGAUUAUAUAUAUUUUUAAGGGGUGUUAAAGGAAGAAAAGUGGGGACUUUCUAAAUUACCAGGCAAUGCCUCCAAUGUUGCAGUGGGAGAAGCCAAGAUGCAGCAGCCUUAGAGGGUAUUUAGCAGUUUGUGCCAGGAGAACUUGACCUUGGAUGGGUCAGGAAUAUGACCAGAGUCUGAUUCUACGCUUUGCAGAUCAAGAAAUUCAGUUUUUUCCCGAACAAUGAGAAAGCUCUGGGAGGACUGACAGAUGUUAACUGUAAGAAACAGUAUAGACAAGUCAACUCUUUUCACUUACAAUGGAAUUUAAUGCUUUCCAGAGAUGAGCGUUUGACAGAGGGUUCUAAUAGCUAACUUGAGUUAAUUUUGCCUCUGGAAAGUAUUUUCGGAGUACUUAUAAAUUCCCAGAGUUGGAAUUAACAAAUCAAACAUACUAUUUAAAUGUUAUAUUUAUCAGCCUGGGCCACUCACUAAACCUGUGACUCUGAGAAAGUUAAAUUCUCUGUGCCUCAGUUUUAUCAUCUAUAAAAUGGGGGUAAUAUGUAUAUACCUCACUGAGUUGUUAUGAUAACGUAUGUAUGUACAGAAAGCACUUAGCAAAUAGUAGCUGGUUAUAGUAAGAUCUCAAUAAAUAGUAACAUAUGGUUAUUAUAAAUUUUUGUGUUCAUUUCAAAUUGAAGCUUCUUGAAAAUGAUAUUAUGGCCAGUCUCCCCAAAACCUUGGGAAACUGGGGCAGCUCAGGCUUCACAGAAGAUCUAAUUUACCUCUAUACUUUCUUCUCUUUUCUUAAAUGUAUUUCUCCACAACAGUCUGUCUCUUCAAAAAAAGCCUUAUUUGUGGUCAGAGUCAUCUUGUCCUGUCUUUUCUCUGAGAUAGUACCCGACAUCAGUUUCAAACGACCAAAGUUGUUUUUCUAUAUAAUAUUAAGUUUACAUAAUUCAUGCUCCCAUCAGUAAUUCUCCAAGUUAAAUUCUUCCUCUGAGCCUCUGGGUUAGGUUGAUGAGACUUGGUUUCACUUUCCAUGGGAGCUGUUCCCAUGGAAAGACAACACAUUCUGAGUCACCUGUUUCUAAAAUACUAAUGCCUCUUUUUUUUUUUUUUCUCAUCGGAACCUGAUAUCAGUAUGUUGUUCUCUUAUUUAAGGCAACAAAUCUGUAUGUUAUCAGGUAGAGUGAUUGGGGUUUUUUUUUUAUGCAUUUCCCACCAGAACACAAUGGAAAUAAUAUGCAUAAGGUGAAUCUUUUAUCCAGGCCAUCCUUUUGACCCAGUAAUCCCAUCUCUGGAAAUUUAUAAAUAUAUCAAAGGCAGAAAAGGUUAUAUGCCUGAGUAUAUUCCUGGCUUAAUUUUAAUAGUGUAAAAUUUGCCAGUGACCCAAAUAAUAGGGGAAUGAUUAUUGAAAUUUCAUAUGACCUGGCUAGGAUAUGUGCAACCAUUAAAAACUGUAAUUUUGAAGACUGUGCUACAACACAGGAAAAUAUCUGCAUUAGCUACCGCUGUGAAACAAACAACCUUGAAAUCUCAGUCAUACAAUAAUAAGCAUUUAUUUCUUACUCAUGUAUUUGUAGAUAAGGUAGGUUUCGGCUGAUCCAGUUGAGCUUGGUUAAAUUUGACUUCAGGCCAUGAAUUGAGUUCAGGUCUGUUUCACAUGUCUUUCAUUCCUCAGCAACUGAUGGGCUACUCAGGGCAUGUUUUCUCAUGGCAAAGGUAGAAACCCAAGAGAGCAAACUCAAUGCUAAAAACAUAUGUAAAGCCUCUGCGUACAUCAUAACUACUAAUAUUUCAUGUCCAAAUCAAGUCAUAUGGCCAAGUCCGCAUCAAGGCAACAUCAAGGCAGCCAGGAAAUAUAUUCCAGUUUUAACAUUAGGAACUACAAAGUGUACAGUAUAGGGAGGGAUGAAGUAUUGGGAAUAAUAAUACAACUUACAAUGCCUCACAAAGUGGUUACGGGGAAAAAAAAGCAUCCACAGGAUAUAAAAUUGAUACACAACUUGAUCAUAACUAUGUAAAAAUAUAUAUGCAUAUCAACAAAGAAUGGAAAUAAAAAAGCAAAAUUGAAAAAAAAUUAUGGCUCAAUAACAAUAUAUGAACUUUUUAUUUUACCUUUCUUCAUUUUUCAGAUUUACACAACAGUAUCAUAUUAUUCUUCUUUUUAAAAGUAGGUUUUAGGAGCUUCUUACCGUAGGCAACUCUUUUAAAUUGGUUAUUUUGUUAAACUAGUUGUUUUAGCCAUCAUAUUAAGGCUUUGUAGAAAAAAAAUUAGAAUUCUAAGUACAGCCAAGUUAGAAAAUUAUUCUUAUUACCCACCAAUUCCCAAUCACAAACUCAAAUCUAACAAACUUCGUUAUCACGGAUCUUUAACUUUGCCUGCUCCCCUACAAACAGUUCAAUUGUCUUUAUUCUCUUAUUCUUUAUUAUUGCAGUGCUGAAGAUUAUUCUCCACACGGACCUCUUUGAAGUCUACAAAAUUAGAUAUUCAGUUCAUUGAAUAGGAGGAUUGUCCCUAGUAGGUUCCGAUUUUCUGAAAGGAGGAAGUCCAUUCCACAAAUAUUUACUGAGCACCUGCCAGGUACAAGGCCUUGUGCUAGUUGAUUUCGGGGCAAUAAAGAUGUGUAAAUGAUGACACUUAACCCUCAAGGAGCUCGCAGUCUUACUGGAGAGAAGUGUGUACACAUCUGUUUUAGGGACAGAAAGAACAGACUAGGAGAAGGGUUCAAUGGUUCUAAAUCUCAGUGGCAUAUUUGAAGAAUCUGGACAGCUUUUAACGAAUACCAGUCCAAGCCCCACACCCAGAGUUGCUAAUUUAAUUGGUCUGGUGUCAGGCCUGAUCACUGAUAUUUUUUUAAGCUCCUCUGAUGAUUAUAAUGUCUAGCCAGGGUUGAGGACCAUUGGGGUAAGACUUCUACUUGAACUCUGACUGAGCUGUUUGAGUCAGGUAAGAACUGACAAAGACUCUCAAAUUCCAAAUUUAAAACGAAUCUUUUUAAAAUAAAUUAUUUUAUCAAAAAUCAUAUACUACUUGCAUAUAGUUUAAAAAAUCAAAUAGUACCA